UACGUAGGGUGCAAGCGUUGUCCGGAAUUAUUGGGCGUAAAGGGCUCGUAGGCGGUCCAUCGCGUCGGGAGUGAAAAGCUGGGGCUUAACCCCAGUCCUGCUUCCGAUACGGGUGGACUAGAGGUAGGUAGGGGAGAUCGGAAUUCCUGGUGUAGCGGUGAAAUGCGCAGAUAUCAGGAAGAACACCCGUGGCGAAAGCGGCUCUCUGGAACGGUACUGACGCUGAGACGCGAAAGCGUGGGGAGCGAACAGG
rnacentral:rRNA from 1 species